GAGGGCGUGUGAGGGGCGGGGUUUAAGUGGACGCAGCAAGCAGCUUUGCGUCUUGACGUCACGAAGACCUUAUAUACUCGACUCAGCCGCCAUCUCAGCCUUUCGGAGCUGUGCGGCAUUCUGAGCAGGAAUGGCAGUGUGGACCUCUGUGAUGGGACAUCUUGUGGGAUCUCACAGCCAGUUCUGUGGCAAAGGAGGAUGAAGGCUUACGAGGACUCGUCAGGAAGCUGGAUAACAGAGCGAGCGCAAUGUGCUAGAAUAGAAGACCAGAAAAUGAAAUGGUGGAGUUUGAGGCUGGAUAGACAGUUUGAAAGGUACAAAUAAUGGUUUGAAUAAAGAAAGGUAUUAAUGGGUCACCUCAAGUGAAGGCACUGCAAACACAAUGAUUGGUCAUUCUGAAUUUCCGGUCCUUCAUUCUGAAUUUCAAAGGCUCCUGUGACAAGUGGACAUGCAGUGACUGCACCUUUGUUUCUGAGGUGCCUGGAUGGAGGCUCAAAUAGAAGAUGGUGUCAGAUAUAUUGUGUUAAAAUUUUACCAUUAAAGUGUAUUAUAACAUGAACUGUGAA
rnacentral:lncRNA from 1 species